UACGUAGGGGGCAAGCGUUGUCCGGAUUUAUUGGGCGUAAAGCGCUCGCAGGUGGUCCGCUGCGUCGUGCGUGAAAGACCCCGGCUCAACUGGGGGAUGUCGUGCGAUACGGGCGGACUGGAGGCCAGUAGGGGGAUGCGGAAUUCCGGGUGUAGUGGUGGAAUGCGUAGAGAUCCGGAGGAACACCAGCGGCGAAGGCGGCAUCCUGGACCGACACUGACGCUGAGGAGCGAAAGCCAGGGGAGCAAACGGG
rnacentral:rRNA from 1 species